rnacentral:tRNA from 1 species
GAGAUUAUAAUUAGAGCUUCUAACUCUUAAUAAAGCGUCAUUUGUUUAAAUCUCU